CUUUUUAAUCACUGAGGAUCUUGUUUAAAUGCAGGUUCUGACAUAGGAUGUUUGGGAUAGGGCCUGAGAUUCUGCAUUUCUUGCAAGUUCCCAGCAACUGACACA
rnacentral:pre_miRNA from 1 species